CACCGAGAUUCAACAUGGAACGAGUGGCGGACGGGUGAGUAACACGUGGGUAACCUGCCCUUAAGUGGGGGAUAACAUUUGGAAACAGAUGCUAAUACCGCAUAGAUCCAAGAACCGCAUGGUUCUUGGCUGAAAGAUGGCGUAAGCUAUCGCUUUUGGAUGGACCCGCGGCGUAUUAGCUAGUUGGUGAGGUAAUGGCUCACCAAGGUGAUGAUACGUAGCCGAACUGAGAGGUUGAUCGGCCACAUUGGGACUGAGACACGGCCCAAACUCCUACGGGAGGCAGCAGUAGGGAAUCUUCCACAAUGGACGCAAGUCUGAUGGAGCAACGCCGCGUGAGUGAAGAAGGCUUUCGGGUCGUAAAACUCUGUUGUUGGAGAAGAAUGGUCGGCAGAGUAACUGUUGUCGGCGUGACGGUAUCCAACCAGAAAGCCACGGCUAACUACGUGCCAGCAGCCGCGGUAAUACGUAGGUGGCAAGCGUUAUCCGGAUUUAUUGGGCGUAAAGCGAGCGUAGGCGGUUUUUUAAGUCUGAUGUGAAAGCCCUCGGCUUAACCGAGGAAGCGCAUCGGAAACUGGGAAACUUGAGUGCAGAAGAGGACAGUGGAACUCCAUGUGUAGCGGUGAAAUGCGUAGAUAUAUGGAAGAACACCAGUGGCGAAGGCGGCUGUCUGGUCUGUAACUGACGCUGAGGCUCGAAAGCAUGGGUAGCGAACAGGAUUAGAUACCCUGGUAGUCC
rnacentral:rRNA from 1 species